CCGACCUGCUUCUGUUUUGUCCACCGCAGUCGUUCUCAUCUCAUUCGAGUCCACUUCCGCUUCCUGAGUCAGCUUCUGCUUGUUGCAAUCGUCUCCGUUGGUGUUAGCUCCUUCUCCUAUCCUUCUUUCAAUCCUGCUUAUACAUUCGAUUUGAAAUUUACAUACAAUCUCGCCAAGUGGGAGGGGAUUGCAUUAGAUUCAAGAAUAUUAAAGCGUGCAUUAAAUAGACUUGAGAAUUAGAAGGUAAGUUUUACCUCGGAGAUGUUGAUUUCAUGUUGCGGGGGUGAAAUAAUUACUCUAUAUAGAGGAGAACGUACCAUUUAAGUGAAUACUCAAGGAAUCCACUAAACAAUGCUCAAAAUGGCAAGGAGGAAAGAUUUGCAGAUGGAGGAAACAACACUGUCCAUUGGAGAGAUUCUAUGGAUGAUGUAUUGGUAGACGUUUUUUACGAUCAACAUAUGUUGGGCCGUAGAUCUAGUGAGACAUUUACCACACAAGCUAUUGAUUGCAUCGUGACUGCACUGAGGAAUGUAUUUCCAAACACAACUAUUGAUAAAGAACAUAUUCACAACCGCAUCAAAAAUUUAAAAAGACAAUGUUUCAAAUGGUAUGAUGUUUUCAAACAUGGAUUGAGUGAUCUGUAAUCCGACAAUUAAAAUAUUUGAAGUAGAAAAUGAGGUGUGACAGCAAUUAAUAGAGGUUCAACCGGAAGCAGCUGAAUUGAAGAAUAAACGUGUGGGGAAUUACCACAAAAUAUUGAAAAGGUAUGAAAAGGACAGAACAAAUGGGGGUAGUUGUGAGACAACAAUUUCCAGUCAAUAACAAA